rnacentral:rRNA from 1 species
AUUGAACGCUGGCGGCAUGCCUUACACAUGCAAGUCGAACGGUAACAGGUCUUCGGAUGCUGACGAGUGGCGAACGGGUGAGUAAUACAUCGGAACGUGCCCGAUCGUGGGGGAUAACGGAGCGAAAGCUUUUGCUAAUACCGCAUACGAUCUACGGAUGAAAGCAGGGGACCGCAAGGCCUUGCGCGGACGGAGCGGCCGAUGGCAGAUUAGGGUAGUUGGUGGGAUAAAAGCUUACCAAGCCGACGAUCUGUAGCUGGUCUGAGAGGACGACCAGCCACACUGGGACUGAGACACGGCCCAGACUCCUACGGGAGGCAGCAGUGGGGAAUUUUGGACAAUGGGCGCAAGCCUGAUCCAGCCAUGCCGCGUGCAGGAUGAAGGCCUUCGGGUUGUAAACUGCUUUUGUUACGGAACGAAAGACUCUUUCUAAUAAAGAAGGGUCCAUGACGGUACCGUAAGAAUAAGCACCGGCUAACUACGUAGCCAGCAGCCGCGGUAAAACG